rnacentral:rRNA from 1 species
UACGUAGGGGGCGAGCGUUGUCCGGAUUUAUUGGGCGUAAAGAGCGUGUAGGCGGCCAGGUAGGUCUGCUGUGAAAACUCGAGGCUCAACCUCGAGACGUCGGCGGAAACCAUCUGGCUAGAGUCCGGAAGAGGAGAGUGGAAUUCCUGGUGUAGCGGUGAAAUGCGCAGAUAUCAGGAGGAACACCGGUGGCGAAGGCGGUUCUCUGGGCAUGUUCUGACGCUGAGGAGCGAAAGUGUGGGGAGCGAACAGG